UGACCAGACCGGACAGUUGCAGACGCAGAAUCGAUAAGAUUGCGCUUGAGGAAAGUCCGAGCUCCAAACGGGUCAGGAUAACGGUUAACGACCGCCGGGGGCGACCCUAGGGAAAGUGCAACAGAAAUAUACCGCCACAUCCAAGUGGCAAGGGUGGAAAGGCGAGGUAAGAGCUCACCAGCGUGCGGGAGAUCGUACGGCUAUGUAAACCCUAUCCGGAGCAACACCCGACCAAGAUAAAAGUUGAUCCGUUAAAUUAUCUUAAUGAGGUGGCACCGAGCUCGUGUGGUAACGCACAGCCCAGAUAGAUGACUGUUCAAGACAGAACUCGGCUUACAGGUUUGGUCAAUUU
rnacentral:RNase_P_RNA from 1 species